ACGGGUGUAGCUCAACGGUAGAGCACCGGCCUCCAAAUCCGAAGGUUGCAGGUUCGAUUCCUGUCACCCGUGC
rnacentral:tRNA from 2 species